CACGCUGCGGCAGGCUAUCACAUGCUUAUCGAGCGAGAAGCUAACUUCGGUUAGGUGGACAGCGGCGCACGGGUGAGUAACGCGUGGGAAUUUACCUUUCGGCGGGGGACAACAGUUGGAAACGACUGCUAAUACCGCAUACGCCCUACGGGGGAAAGAUUUAUCACCGAAAGAUAGGCCCGCGUUAGAUUAGGUAGUUGGUAGGGUCAAAGCCUACCAAGCCGACGAUCUAUAGCUGGUUUGAGAGAACGAUCAGCCACACUGGAACUGAGACACGGUCCAGACUCCUACGGGAGGCAGCAGUGGGGAAUCUUGCACAAUGGGCGAAAGCCUGAUGCAGCCAUGCCGCGUGAGUGAGAAGGCCUUACAGGGUUGUCAAACUCUUUAUAGACUGUGAAGAUGAUGACGGAUAACAUCAGAAAAAGCACCGGCUAACUUCGAGCCAGAAACCGCGAGUAAUACGAAGGGUGCUAGCGUAGUACGGAAUUACUGGGCGUAA
rnacentral:rRNA from 1 species